rnacentral:snRNA from 1 species
GGAUGUGAGGGUGAUCUGGCUGCGACAUCUGUCACCACAUUGAUCGCCAGGGUUGAUUUGGCUGAUCUGUCAGGCUAGGCAGGUUUCCCCUUUCUCCCUCUUAACUCCAUGUGUGUCCCUCCUGAAGCUGCAGGUUCGCUUGAAGAGGACGACCUUCCCUGAUUGAAGGAGGACAAUCCUUCUGUCAAGGGUAUACAAGGAGCUGCGCUCCCCUGCUAGAACCUCCAAACAAGUCUCAAGAAGCCUCUAUUGGUUUCUUCCCACCUGGAGCCCAGGAGAACAAAGGAAAACAGAAAUGCAAGAAAGUAGUCAGUCCAAAGGACUAAUAGCCCAAAUGAUCCACAGCCUCCUU